UUCAUUAUAUAACUACCUUUUUGUGAGGGAACGAGUACUAAUGCUAACACAUAAUUAUCAGAUUGUCAACUUGGCCACAACAAAAAUGGCAUCUCAGCCAAAUCAUCUCCUCCUGGAGAAUCACCCCAGGUCUACCAUCAAGGCUAACUACAUGGGAGUGAUGACAUCGCCAUAUCUUCCACAAGUACCAAGCAUCAUCAUGUCAUCUCCUGCUGCGGCCACAUCCUCACAAAAUUUUCCUGGGAUCAACAGUCCUCCUGGUUACAUGGAAAAUAGAGUUAGAAAUUGAUUCUAACAAAACUGAAUUCACCCAAGUAGAAAAUUCUUUGGAAGAAAGGAUACCAAAGGUGGGUAUGAAAUUCUACACUAAACAAGAGGCGUAUGACUUUUACAAUGCAUAUGCUCGAGAUAAGGGGUUCAGCAUUCGAAGGAAGAGUUCCCAUAACGUGAAGAAUACUUCCACAAUAAAGAAUAGAACAUUUUGUUGUUCUAGUGCAGGUGCUUGUGGUCAUGAUAAAAGAGCAGAAUUGUCCACCCAUGGACAAUGCUUCAACAGGCCAGAGACACGUUGUAUGUAUCAAGCAUGCAUGAAGAUAAGUCUCAAAGAUGGAUUCUACUAUAUCUAUGAAUUUGUGCCCGAUCAUAACCAUAUUCUGGCUACUGGUAGCCAAGCCCACCAUUUGAGAUCUCAAAGGAAAAUAACCGAAGCAUGGAUUGCAAGUGCCGAAGAUGCUAAAACAGUCGGCAUUUCAAAUAAAGCUACUAUUGAUCUAAAUGAAGAAGAGAAAGGGAAGAAAAGAAGAAGAAGAAGAAGAAGAAGAAGAAGAAGAAGAAGAAGAAGAAGGGAGGAGGAGGCCGUCCGCGGGUUCGCUGGUUUUUCCUCGCCGGUUUGCGGUUCCGCUCCAAAGGUGACUCCUCUGUAGUCAUGCUUGUAGGAGAUUGAGUUUAGUCGUCCGCGUUGUCGGUUAAGUGUAUUGUUGGUCCAGUUAGUGAGUAGCGCGUCAUUUAAAUUUGAGGUCUAACCGGUGUUGGUCACGAGUAUAUGUCUAUAAUGGAAGUUGUAGUUCAUGUUAUAGGCGUACCGAUGGCGUUGGCGUUGUUCCUUUUUGGGUAAGUGGUUUAGGUGCUUUUGGCUAUUUGGGGUCGGUGUUCGGGCGAGGUUUAGCCGUACGUUGUGGCUUAUUCUUUGGUCUUUGACUGAGCUAGAGGGGGGUCUUACUUGGCGUCUAGCAAGCUAGUUGGUAGAUGUCUUUCUGAAGCCUUCGGUUGUCGAGAACGCUGGGUUUUGGCGUAUCAACGUGCGUCUUCUUUUACUUCGUCGUUGCGGCGUCGUUGUGCUAAUUGUGUGUUUGUUCAGGUGGUGCCACCUCAUGUCGCGGCUAGUGCCCGGCUUCAUCAUCGGUGAAGGCAAGUGAAUGUGGCGAAUGGCUACGCUUUAACCUAUUAUUUGGUUGCCUACAUUCCUUUAAUUACAAUGCAUUCAUCUAACCUGAAUAACUGGUUAUGAGCUGGUUACUAUGUUGUUUACUUUCCAGAAGUUUACUCGAUUAUUGAUUUACGAAGUGUAGUAAGCAUGAUAUGCCAUUCUGCAGUUGUUCAUUAUUGUAUUAUGCAAUUUUUUUGAAGUCUCAAGUAUAUUCUGGAAGUUAUGUUGUUGGUUAUGCAUGAAGCACAUCAUACAUAUACAUCUCAUGCAUUGGAAGUUUGUCGUCGUCUUCUGGUCGAGACCGUACUGGUACAGCACCGUAUGUUACCCGAGGAGGGGUACGGUGCACACCCUUACGUUACCCGAGGUGGGGUAAGGGUGAGGAAGAGCAUGUCAUGUGCAUGGUUAUGUAUUCAUAUGAAGUUCAACGAGUUAUUUGCAUCAAGAUCUUAUUUCCUUUAGUUGGCUUGUAUAAAUGAUGCGGCUGUGAAGGUUUAUGCCAACCGAAUGUUAAAAUGGUUAAUGUUGCCGUUGGACUUGCUUAGUCAUAGUUGUUUCUCUUGAUGUUGAUAGUCUGUUUUAUUACCAAUUUCUAUUUAGAAAUGAUUGCAUAUUCAACUGUGGCUAAAUAGCUCUUUAAAGUAAAAUUCACUUGAUGAGAUUUUUGAAUCUCACCCGUGCUUUCUUUCCAGGUUCUUUUUGAGGUGUCAAUCGCAUGCGGGAUGGGUAGCUACACGUCGCCUGCACGUUCACCUCCUCUUUUGGGCUAAACUUGUGUAUUGUUAGAUAAUGUCUUUUGCGCUGUGAUGUAUAUAGUGAGACUGUGGUGGUUAAGUGGUUUGGUCGAGGCUUGUACCUCGUUUGCUAGGAUAUUUAUGUUGCUAGUGUGAUAUUCUAUAAUCUGAUUUGUCUGUGUGUGUUUGUUGCCUGUUAUACCUCCACUUUCAGGGGAGGUGCUGCCGAAAUUUUCCUUUAACUUUCGGCAGAUAUGUAGGUUGGUCUGAGUGACCUUCCAGGCUUGUUUUGAUCCCCGGGGCGUUACACGAAGCUAGACCUUCGCUGGCAAGGCUUGUCGGGCACUAUCUCCCCCUACCUUGGGAACCUGACAUUCCUCAGGGAACUCAACCUCUCCUCAAACACUCUCCGGCUGGUUACCUCCUCUCGACCGUCUACGCAAACGAGAGGUCAUCGAUUCCAACAAAUUGUUCCAACCUAAGAUUGUUAAACCUCUCUCAAAAUUUUGUAAUUCCUCCUAAUGUGGGUGACGAGAAAUAUGUAAUUAAUAAUUAUACAUCUACUAUAAAUAUGGCAUACAUUUACUUUGAUAAGUCUAUCACCUGCAGCCUUGAAGCAUUGCCUAGGGACCAACUUCAUAGCUAGAUAAGGGGUCAGCUUGUCAUUCGAGUUCGAUAAUCCUAGAAUGCUCUAGGUGAAAAUCUACCAUUAACACUUGCGCUUGUGGUAUCUAUGUUGUGCGCAUAAUUAGUAUUAACACUAACUCCA